rnacentral:rRNA from 1 species
AGUGAACGCUGGCGGUAGGCCUAACACAUGCAAGUCGAACGGCAGCACAGUAAGAGCUUGCUCUUACGGGUGGCGAGUGGCGGACGGGUGAGGAAUACAUCGGAAUCUACUUUUUCGUGGGAGAUAACGUAGGGAAACUUACGCUAAUACCGCAUACGACCUACGGGUGAAAGCAGGGGAUCUUCGGACCUUGCGCGAUUGAAUGAGCCGAUGUCGGAUUAGCUAGUUGGCGGGGUAAAGGCCCACCAAGGCGACGAUCCGUAGCUGGUCUGAGAGGAUGAUCAGCCACACUGGAACUGAGACACGGUCCAGACUCCUACGGGAGGCAGCAGUAGGGAAUAUUGGACAAUGGGCGCAAGCCUGAUCCAGCCAUACCGCGUGGGUGAAGAAGGCCUUCGGGUUGUAAAGCCCUUUUGUUGGGAAAGAAAAGCAGCAGGUUAAUACCCCGCUGUUCUGACGGUACCCAAAGAAUAAGCACCGGCUAACUUCGUG